rnacentral:rRNA from 1 species
AACGAACGCUGGCGGCAGGCCUAACACAUGCAAGUCGAGCGAGGACUUCGGUUCUAGCGGCGGACGGGUGAGUAACGCGUGGGAAUGUGCCCUUCUCUACGGAAUAGCCCUGGGAAACUGGGAGUAAUACCGUAUACGCACUAUUGGGGAAAGAUUUAUCGGAGAAGGAUCAGCCCGCGUUGGAUUAGGUAGUUGGUGGGGUAAUGGCCUACCAAGCCGACGAUCCAUAGCUGGUUUGAGAGGAUGAUCAGCCACACUGGGACUGAGACACGGCCCAGACUCCUACGGGAGGCAGCAGUGGGGAAUCUUAGACAAUGGGGGCAACGCUGAUCUAGCCAUGCCGCGUGAGUGAUGAAGGCCUUAGGGUUGUAAAGCUCUUUCAGCUGGGAAGAUAAUGACGGUACCAGCAGAAGAAGCCCCGGCUAACUCCGUG